rnacentral:rRNA from 1 species
AUGCACGCUGGCGGCGUGCCUAAUACAUGCCAGUCGAGCGAACAGACGAGGAGCUUGCUCCUCUGACGUUAGCGGCGGACGGGUGAGUAACCCGUGGAUAACCUACCUAUAAGACUGGGAUAACUUCGGGAAACCGGAGCUAAUCCCGGAUAAUAUAUUGAACCGCCUGGUUCAAUAGUGAAAGACGGUUUUGCUGUCACUUAUAGAUGGAUCCGCGCCGCAUUAGCUAGUUGGUAAGGUAACGGCUUACCAAGGCAACGAUGCGUAGCCGACCUGAGAGGGUGAUCGGCCACACUGGAACUGAGACACGGUCCAGACUCCUACGGGAGGCAGCAGUAGGGAAUCUUCCGCAAUGGGCGAAAGCCUGACGGAGCAACGCCGCGUGAGUGAUGAAGGUCUUCGGAUCGUAAAACUCUGUUAUUAGGGAAGAACAAAUGUGUAAGUAACUAUGCACGUCUUGGCGGUACCUAAUCAGAAAGCCACGGCUAACUACGUG